CGGGACGGGUGAGUAACGCGUGGAUAACCUGCCUCACACUGGGGGAUAACAGUUAGAAAUGGCUGCUAAUACCGCAUAGGCGCACAGUACCGCAUGGUACGGUGUGAAAAACCCAGGCGGUGUGAGAUGGAUCCGCGUCUGAUUAGCCAGUUGGCGGGUAACGGCCCACCAAAGCGACGAUCAGUAGCCGACCUGAGAGGGUGACCGGCCACAUUGGGACUGAGACACGGCCCAA
rnacentral:rRNA from 1 species